GUGUUCAUAAUGGACGAGUCUGAUGGAGCAUGCCGCGUGAGUGAAGAAGGGUUUCGGCUCGUAAAACUCUGUUGUUAAAGAAGAACACCUUUGAGAGUAACUGUUCAAGGGUUGACGGUAUUUAACCAGAAAGCCACGGCUAACUACGUGCCAGCAGCCGCGGUAAUACGUAGGUGGCAAGCGUUGUCCGGAUUUAUUGGGCGUAAAGCGAGCGCAGGCGGUUUUUUAAGUCUGAUGUGAAAGCCUUCGGCUUAACCGGAGAAGUGCAUCGGAAACUGGGAGACUUGAGUGCAGAAGAGGACAGUGGAACUCCAUGUGUAGCGGUGGAAUGCGUAGAUAUAUGGAAGAACACCAGUGGCGAAGGCGGCUGUCUAGUCUGUAACUGACGCUGAGGCUCGAAAGCAUGGGUAGCGAACAGGAUUAGAUACCCCGGGUAGUCCCAA
rnacentral:rRNA from 2 species